AUUGAACGCUGGCGGCAGGCCUAACACAUGCAAGUCGAACGAGUGGCGGACGGGUGAGUAAUGUCUGGGAAACUGCCUUAUGGAGGGGGAUAACUACUGGAAACGGUAGCUAAUACCGCAUACCAUCAGAUGUGCCCAGAUGGGAUUAGCUAGUUGGUGGGGUAACGGCUCACCAAGGCGACGAUCCCUAGCUGGUCUGAGAGGAUGACCAGCCACACUGGAACUGAGACACGGUCCAGACUCCUACGGGAGGGAGCAGGGGGGAAUAUUGCGCAAUGGGCGCAAGCCUGAUGCAGCCAUGCCGCGUGAAUGAAGAAGGCCUUCGGGUUGUAAAGUUCUUUCAGUAGGGAGGCGUUACCCACAGAAGAAGCACCGGCUAACUCCGUGCCAGCCGCCGCGGUAAUAC
rnacentral:rRNA from 1 species